GGGCCUCCCAGGCCCCGGACAAAGGCUCCUGGGUGGGGUGGGAACGCUGAGGGUUUCACUGGGCUCCUUACCAAGCUGGUGAGAGGUCCCCACCGCACUGAGAGCCAGAGCUGGGAUUGGAAUCCACUUCUUGAUCUCACAGAUGACCUCAUAACCCCGGCCCGUAUCAGCCAGGUGCAACCAGACUCAGGGGUGUGGGUGCUGCCUACGCUGGACUUGGCUGUGAACCAGAAUUCCCUUGACCUCAUUAGGAAAUGUUGAUGGAAACUGCACAGAAGUUCCCCUGUGGGCACAGGAAAGAGGAAGCUCAUCACGGGACAGACACAUGACGGGCUCUAUGUGGACAUCAUUCCAUCCUCUUGCACAUUUCAUCAAUGAUAAAGCCAGGCUCAGAGAGGGCCAGCAACCUUCCCAAAG